rnacentral:rRNA from 1 species
UACGAAGGGGGCUAGCGUUGUUCGGAAUUACUGGGCGUAAAGCGCAUGUAGGCGGCUUUGUAAGUUAGAGGUGAAAGCCCGGGGCUCAACUCCGGAAUUGCCUUUAAGACUGCAUCGCUAGAAUUGUGGAGAGGUAAGUGGAAUUCCGAGUGUAGAGGUGAAAUUCGUAGAUAUUCGGAAGAACACCAGUGGCGAAGGCGACUUACUGGACACAUAUUGACGCUGAGGUGCGAAAGCGUGGGGAGCAAACAGG